rnacentral:rRNA from 1 species
GACGAACGCUGGCGGCGUGCUUAACACAUGCAAGUCGAACGGAAAGGCUCCAGCUUGCUGGAGUACUCGAGUGGCGAACGGGUGAGUAACACGUGGGUGAUCUGCCCUGCACUUCGGGAUAAGCCUGGGAAACUGGGUCUAAUACCGGAUAGGACCGCACUUUGGUGUGUGUGGUGGAAAGGUUUUUCUGGUGUGGGAUGAGCUCGCGGCCUAUCAGUUUGUUGGUGGGGUAAUGGCCUACCAAGACGGCGACGGGUAGCCGGCCUGGGAGGGUGGACGGUCACAUUGGGACUGAGAUACGGCCCAGACGCCUACGGGAGGCAGCAGUGGGGAAUAUUGCACAAUGGGGGAAACCCUGAUGCAGCGACGCCGCGUGGGGGAUGAAGGCCUUCGGGUUGUAAACUCCUUUCGCUAGGGACGAAGCUUUUUGUGACGGUACCUGGAGAAGAAGCACCGGCUAACUACGUG